GUUUCAGCAGCCGCGGUAAUACAGAGGGUGCAAGCGUUAAUCGGAAUUACUGGGCGUAAAGCGUGCGUAGGUGGUUCUUUAAGUCAGGUGUGAAAUCCCUGGGCUCAACCUGGGAACUGCAUUUGAUACUGAAGAGCUAGAGUGUGGUAGAGGAUAGUGGAAUUCCCGGUGUAGCGGUGAAAUGCGUAGAUAUCGGGAGGAACAUCAGUGGCGAAGGCGGCUAUCUGGACCAACACUGACACUGAGGCACGAAAGCGUGGGUAGCAAACAGGAUUAGAUACCCCCGUAGUCC
rnacentral:rRNA from 1 species